GCUCAGGAUGAACGCUGGCGGCGUGCCUAAUACAUGCAAGUCGAGCGAGAAACUUUAAAACAGCGGUUUCGGCCAAAGUUUAAAAGCGGAAAGCGGCGGACGGGUGAGUAACGCGUAGGCAACCUGCCCAGAGCUUAGGGAUAGCCUUUGGAAACGAAGAUUAAAACCUCAUAAUGCUAAGUUAACACAUGUUAGUUUAGCCAAAUAUUUAUAGGCUUUGGAUGGGCCUGCGUCUGAUUAGCUAGUUGGUAAGGUAACGGCUUACCAAGGCUGCGAUCAGUAGCCGACCUGAGAGGGUGAUCGGCCACAUUGGAACUGAGACACGGUCCAAACUUCUACGGAAGGCAGCAGUAAGGAAUCUUGCACAAUGGGGGAAACCCUGAUGCAGCAACGCCGCGUGAAGGAUGAAGGUCCUGUGGAUUGUAAACUUCUUUUCUUAGGGAAGAAAAAAAUGACGGUACCUAAGGAAUAAGCCCCGGCUAACUACGUGCCAGCAGCCGCGGUAAUACGUAGGGGGCGAGCGUUAUCCGGAAUUAUCGGGCGUAAAGCGUGCGUAGGUGGUUAUUCAAGCGCAAGGUUUAAUUUAGCAGCUCAACUGCUACUCGCCUUGCGAACUGAACUACUUGAGUGCAGGAGGGGAAAGCGGAAUUCCUAGUGUAGCGGUGAAAUGCGUAGAUAUUAGGAGGAACACCAGAGGCGAAGGCGGCUUUCUGGACUGUAACUGACACUGAGGCGCGAAAGCGUGGGGUAGCAAACAGGAUUAGAUACCCUGGUAGUCCACGCCGUAAACGAUGAGCACUAGACGUUGGCACAUAAUAGUGUCAGUGUCGCAGUUAACGCGAUAAGUGCUCCGCCUGGGGAGUACGGUGGCAACACUAAAACUCAAAGGAAUUGACGGGGACCCGCACAAGCAGCGGAGCAUGUGGUUUAAUUCGAAGCAACGCGAAGAACCUUACCAGGGCUUGACAUCCCUCUGACAGGGCCUUAAUCGGCCUCUUCUUCGGACAGAGGAGACAGGUGUGCAUGGUUGUCGUCAGCUCGUGUCGUGAGAUGAUGGGUUAAGUCCCGCAACGAGCGCAACCCUUGUCACUAGUUACUAACAUUUAGUUGAGGACUCUAGUGAGACUGCCGAGGUUAACUCGGAGGAAGGUGGGGAUGACGUCAAAUCAUCAUGCCCCUUAUGUCCUGGGCUACACACGAGCUACAAUGGCUGGUACAGAAAGAAGCAAAGUCGUGAGGCAGAGCAAAUCAUAAAAACCAGUCCCAGUUCGGAUUGCAGGCUGAAACCCGCCUACAUGAAGUCGGAGAAGCUAGUAAUCGCGGAUCAGAAUGUCGCGGUGAAU
rnacentral:rRNA from 1 species